CACGUAGGGUGCGAGCGUUGUCCGGCAUUCUUGGGCGUAAAGAGCUCGUAGGCGGUGUGUCGCGUCGGCCGUGAAAACCUGCAGCUUAACUGUGGGCUUGCGGUCGAUACGGGCAUCACUGGAGUUCGGCAGGGGAGACUGGAAUUCCUGGUGUAGCGGUGAAAUGCGCAGAUAUCAGGAAGAACACCCGUGGCUAAGGCGGUUCUCUAGUACGGUACUGACGCUGAGACGCGAAAGCGUGGGGAGCGAACAGG
rnacentral:rRNA from 1 species